UACGUAGGUGGCAAGCGUUGUCCGGAUUUACUGGGCGUAAAGAGCGCGCAGGCGGUCGUUCAAGUCGCGUGUGAAAGCCCCCGGCUCAACUGGGGAGGGUCAUUCGAUACUGAUCGACUCGAAGGCAGGAGAGGGAAGUGGAAUUCCCGGUGUAGUGGUGAAAUGCGCAGAUAUCAGGAGGGACACCAAUUGCGAAGGCAGCUCGCUGGGACGUUACUGACGCUGAGACGCGAAAGCGUGGGGAGCAAACAGG
rnacentral:rRNA from 1 species